rnacentral:rRNA from 1 species
GACGAACGCUGGCGGCGUGCUUAACACAUGCAAGUCGAACGGUAAGGCCCUUCGGGGUACACGAGUGGCGAACGGGUGAGUAACACGUGGGUGAUCUGCCCUGCACUUCGGGAUAAGCCUGGGAAACUGGGUCUAAUACCGGAUAGGACCACUGCCUGCAUGGGUGGUGGUGGAAAGCUUUUGCGGUGUGGGAUGGGCCCGCGGCCUAUCAGCUUGUUGGUGGGGUGAUGGCCUACCAAGGCGACGACGGGUAGCCGGCCUGAGAGGGUGACCGGCCACACUGGGACUGAGAUACGGCCCAGACUCCUACGGGAGGCAGCAGUGGGGAAUAUUGCACAAUGGGCGCAAGCCUGAUGCAGGGACGCCGCGUGAGGGAUGAAGGCCUUCGGGUUGUAAACCUCUUUCAGCACCGACGAAGCGCAAGUGACGGUAGGUGCAGAAGAAGGACCGGCCAACUACGUGCCAGCCGCCGCAGUAA